CCCACGACCCUGGGAUCAUGACCUGAGCUGAAAUCAAGAAAGAGCUGGUGGCUCAACCGACUGAGCCACCCAGGCACCCCAAGUAGAUCCAAUUUUUCGUGGUUGAGCAUAUGUUGAGGACUCUUUUUUUCCACCUACACCUGCAGUCUUAACUCCAAGAUACUGAUCUUGACCAUGAACUUUCCCUAUCCAUGUUGUUACAGGGAUUCUGAAGGAUAUUGUGUUGCCAGUUUGCACAGGGAAUGGCUGCCCUCUGCCUCAUAAUGCAGGCACUCUGAGGCUGCAUUGAUGAACUCACUCUUCUCUCUCCUUCACAGAAACAGAAGAGGCAACUAUGAAAAGCAGCUACAACCUCUGCAUUAAGAGCACUGAUGAGGCACAAGGAAACAAGAUGGAUGGUUUAGAACUGGUCACGAGAAGAGAGGAGAAGAGAAGAGAAGAGAAGAGAAGAGAAGAGAAGAGAAGAGUGGACAAAAAUGGAAGUGGAGGAAAGUGAGGCAGAUGCUCUCUCCAGCUGGCAAAGAGAUUUUAGAAAAUGGGCUCUAAUUUAGACAGCGCAAAGGCAGGCCUUGCCUUUCGCUAUAAAAUCAAGGCCAUCAUCUGAGAGUCACAUCAAUUGAAGUUGGUCCCUCUUGAAAUACAGACCUUGUGCAGGCUAUUUUUUAUAUAAAUAUUUUUAAUUAAUAGAUGGCUUCAUCAAACAUGAGAAGGAUUAAGCAUUAACACUCACCAGAGACCCUGAAAUUAGAUUGAUUAUCUGCAUCUUAAUUUGCUUUUUCGACACCACUAAUUUAUUUUUAAUAGGUCUGUAAUUUAGCUUUAUCUAUUUCUUAUUCUGCUUGGCAGACUUAAAUGUUUGCAGCUCACCAGUCAGUCUCUGUAACCUUUAGGCACUUCUGUCUGCACAGUGUAUUAAUUUUUAAAUUAUCCAGCCCAGUGUGAGGAAGAAUAUCAAUUAAUUUCCAUAUGGGAGCCAGGCCCAAACCCAUCCUCUUCCAGUAGCAGUGAAAUUUAAAUGAAGGGGAAGGCCAGUUGUAGGGGGAACCUAGAUAAAAACAGUAAAUUCUCACUCCUGUGUUACAGAAUCUGUCACCCUUGAAAUAUUUUCCACUUGAAUCAGUGGCAUUGGCAUUAUUAUUGCAGUGAAAAUAAAUGCUCCUCUGUUGGCACCUGUUA